CAACCCUCAAGCUCUGCUUGGUAUUGGGCUCCGUCCUCUGUGGACGCGCCUUGAAGACCUCGGCGGUGGCGUCUUGCCUCAAGCGUAGUAGAAAACACCUCGCUUUGGAGCGCACGGCGUCGCCCGCCGGACGAACCUUUGAAUUUUUCUCAA
rnacentral:misc_RNA from 1 species